ACACUCCAUUUUUUUGCCAUACAAUCUACUUUAAUUCUCAAUGUGGUGCAUUUGUCUUUGAAUUCCCGCAUUUAAUGUUCCACAAUUGUGUGUUUAUUUCGCAGUUAUCAUUUUUUGCUCAUUUCUUGUUUUUUUGCUGUUAACUUUUUUGCUUAAUUAGUUUGUCAUAUCUAGACCAACGACUCAUGUACAACAUAAUUUUAACUCUCACACAGACUAACCUACUGUAACCUGUUUCUAGUUACUCCACAUAAAUCUUUCAUUUUUUGGAUCUAAAACAUUAUUUUCUUCUGUGAACACGUUUUUUCAAACUUUGUUUUUUUUCCAAGAAAAAUACAGUUUUGCUCAUUUUUUUCAUUCAGAAAUUAAAACUUCGCUUCCUUUUUUCCAGAACUUUGAAUCUUGCUAAUUUUUUUUUCCCAGAAAUUAAAACUUUUCUUGUUUAUUACACAAAUAAAAACCUGGCUUUUUUCAGAAAAUAAAAACUAGCUCAUUUUUUUCUGAAAAAUAAAACUUUGCCGUUUCCGGAUUUUUUUGUUACUUUGUUGAUGCUUGUAUAGUUCUUAUACAUCAACCUUGUCUUUCCCAGCCACACAAACCUUAAUUCCUCCAUCCACUGAAUUGUCACCACCGCCAGCACCAACUUGCCGCUCAAUUUCUGCCUCUCGAGAUUUAUCCCAUGCUUGAUUUUCAUAUUUUUUUGUUUUAAUCAAAUUUUAAUCAUUGAGAAGGAAAGGAUGCCACUUUCAUUCGCUUAUUUUGCUUUUAUGUUCACCUCUGUCUUGUUGCUUUAACAAAGUUUAUUAAAAUGGCGAUGUCUUGAACAAUAUCGGAAAAAAACUUGUGUCUUUUAAAUGAUAUUUUUUUUUUUUUUAUAACAGUGAGGUCCUGCAGCAUAAACUAAAAACAAAAACAACCUGGGUGAUGAGGUAAUGGACCAAAUCUGGCCUAAAUCCCAGGUCCUUGACAAGGACCUCACCCAUGCAGAAUGUAAUGUGAAUAGAGGUCCUGCUACAAAUAUUUCUUAGGGUACCAAUGUAGUUUUAAUUGUGUUAUUAGUUCAUUUUAAUAACCACCAGCAGUCGGAUUAUUACAGUGUGUUAACAAGAAUUGAUUUUUGUG